AUGAACAGGGAGGUUUUGGCUCUCAAACAAAAUGAUUUACCUGAUGAAAUUUACUGGAAGUUUGAUAGUUCUGGUAUAUAUUCAACCAAAUCAAUGUACAGAUGGUUGGAAAACGAUAUUGCUGGUUCCAAUUUCAAAUGGAUUUGGGAUGCUAAACUCCCUUUGAAAAUUCAAAUCUUCUUAUGGCAAGUGGGGCAAAAUGCCAUUUUGACUAGAGAUAAUAUGAAAAAAAGAGCUUGGCCCGGAAACCCCUGUUGCUCCUUUUGCAACCAGUUGGAAACAACCUCGCACUUGUUGUUCCUGUGUCCGGUGUCUAGAGUAAUCUGGAGAACCGUAGGGGCUCUUCUUGGGACGGAUUGCUGUCCUAAUUCCAUCUGGCAGUAUUACACCUGGAUGUACAGCUUCCUACCUGGUUUUGAAAAAAAUUUAUACUGUGGGCUUGGCAGCGAUAUGCUGGGCCAUAUGGCUAGCCCGGAACAGAGCUACCUUUGA
rnacentral:rRNA from 1 species